GUGUCAGCAGCCGCGGUAAUACGGAGGGUGCAAGCGUUGUUCGGAUUUACUGGGCGUAAAGGGCGCGUAGGCGGUCUUAUAAGUCAGAUGUGAAAGCCCACGGCUCAACCGUGGAAGUGCAUCUGAAACUGUGAGACUUGAGUAUGGGAGAGGAAAGUGGAAUUCCCGGUGUAGAGGUGAAAUUCGUAGAUAUCGGGAGGAAUACCGGUGGCGAAGGCGACUUUCUGGACCAAUACUGACGCUGAGGCGCGAAAGCGUGGGUAGCAAACAGGAUUAGAUACCCCCGUAGUCC
rnacentral:rRNA from 1 species